ensembl:snoRNA
GCAAGGGUUUGAAUUUGUGACAGGCCUGUCCCUCUAGACAUGAUGAAAUCCCAUGCUAGAAUAGACCCUGGCUCUGAACCAUUUCCUGACCUCUGUGCCCAUGUAUUGCUGGCACUGAAGCAGGUUGCACAGUG